GACGAACGCUGGCGGCGUGCCUAAUACAUGCAAGUCGAACGCAGUGGGGACUGGUGAGUAACACGUGGGUAACCUCCCAUCCGGGGGGAUAACACUUUGAAACCGGUUCUAAACCGAUACUGAUGGAUGAACCCACGGUGCAUUAGCUAGUUGGUGAUGUAACGGUUCACCAAGGCCACGAUGCAUAGCCGAACUGAGAGGGUGAGCGGCCACACUGGGACUGAGACACGGCCCAGAAUCCUACGGGAGGCAGGAGUAGGGAAUCUUCGGCAAUGGACGAAAGGGUGACCGAGCAACGCCGCGUGAGUGAAGAAGGUUUUCGGAUCGUAAAACUCUGUUGUUAGAGAAGCGGGAUCUAACCAGAAAGCCACGGCUAACUACGUGCCAGCAGCCGCGGUAAUAC
rnacentral:rRNA from 1 species